CUUAUCCCUCUCGAGCUCCAACCAUCCAACCGGUAAGAAAAAUCUUUAUAUCCCUAAAUAACCCAUUCUGAAUUUUGCCGUUCAUCACUCAAAUGUACAAGAAUCUCAGGGGCGACUUAGUCAAUUAAACAAAAGAGCCGGUAUCCGUCCUUUAAUUUUACUGAUCUCGUAUAUAUUCUUACCCUCUAUAUGUUCUGGUCCUGCAAGCCGUCUAUAUUCAACAUGAACUCCCUCGGAAAGCCACCCACAAAUAUAGUACAUUAGUUAAGGAUAUCCUUCUCAGUUUGCUCCUCCUCCAACUUAUGCACCAAAAAUGAAGAAGAUAUCGUUACCGGAAUCUGUCACUUUCCUGGCGAAACCAUCCCAAUUCGCGGCCGAAUGCUGGUUCGACGAUGCGUGUAUCCUCGACAUGGACUACUUUAUCAAAACCCUCUCCGGCAUUAAGGCCAAGGGUGUCCGGCACGACCUGAUCGGUUCGAUAAUCACUCACUACGCCUCCAAAUGGCUGCCGGACCUAUCCGGUGGGGACGUGAUGGAAAAGAGCCCAGCAAAUUACUUUGAAGAAUCUCCGGAAAGCGUCACGGCUUCAUGGAUGAAGAAAAGGUUCUUUGUGGAAACCAUAGUGGGAGUUCUCCCUCCCGAAAAGGAUUCCAUCCCAUGUAACUUCCUUCUCCGCCUCCUCCGCACCGCCAACAUGGUCGGGGUCGAGCCCACAUAUCGGGCCGAGCUUGAGAAACGUAUAUCAUGGCAACUCGACCACGCUUCAUUGAAAGAGCUAAUGAUACCAUCCUUUAGUCACACUUGUGGGACUUUGCUAGAUGUCGACCUCGUUAUUCGGCUGGUGAAGAGGUUUGUGAAUUUGGAUGAGGCUGCUAAGACUGGCUCUGCAUUGAUUAAGGUGGCAAAACUUGUGGAUUGUUAUCUCGCCGAGGCAGCCAUGGAUUCAAAUAUGAGCAUGUCGGAGCUUGUUGCGCUUGCCGGAGCUCUCCCUGGCCAUUCUCGUGCCACGGAUGAUGGGUUAUACCGAGCCAUUGAUACUUAUCUCAAAGCACAUCCUGACACAACAAAGGAAGAAAGAAAAAGUCUCUGCACACUGAUUGACAGCCGAAAACUCUCAUCGGAAGCAUCCCUUCACGCUGCACAAAACGAACGCUUACCCGUCCGAGCUGUUAUCCAGGUGCUCUUCUCCGAGCAAAAUAAGCUUAGUCGCCAUGUAGAUUGGAGUGGCUCCUUCAACGGCAACCGGAGCCCGAACCCAGGAAUUGACCACCCAGCUCGAUGCUUCUCGAAGCGUGAAAUGACAACUCAACAGAUGGAGAUAAGGAGGUUGAAGGAAGAUGUUAUUAGGCUUCAAAACCAGUGCAACACCAUGCAAGCGCAAAUAGAGAGGCUUGUGGAGAAGAAGAGAGGGUUUUUCAAUUGGAAGAAGCUCGGAAUGCCUUCAUUCAAGAGUGUUAGUGUGGUUGAUAAGCUGAUCGAAGAGGUUGAAGAACCGGUGGAGUACGGACGAGAAACGCCUUUGGACAUGAAAACUAAGUUGGUGAGAGGUCGGAACAAUCCUCCCAAGUGGAGGAAAUCCAUGUCUUGAAAGUGAAGACGGGUUGGAGAUCAGCUACGAUGCUUUCAUGUGGUUGUAUUAUAUUUACUGUUUACUUGAUUAUUAUGUUGAAAUGAUAUGUUGUGCAAUGUCAGAUCAACUGGGUACAGCUUGUUACUGGCU